rnacentral:tRNA from 1 species
UAGGGUGUAGCUCAGUGACAGAGCACUUGCCUAGUAUGUGCAAAACCCUGGGUUUAAUCCCCAGCACUUCAA